GACGAACCGAGCGAACGUUGUUCGGAAUCACUGGGCUUAAAGGGCGCGUAGGCGGGCAUUCAAGUCUGUGGUGAAAUCCUCCGGCUCAACCGGAGAACUGCCUCGGAUACUGGAUGUCUCGAGGGUGAUAGGGGUAUGCGGAACUAUCGGUGGAGCGGUGAAAUGCGUUGAUAUCGAUAGGAACUCCGGUGGCGAAGGCGGCAUACUGGAUCACUUCUGACGCUGAGGCGCGAAAGCCAGGGGAGCAAACGGG
rnacentral:rRNA from 1 species